rnacentral:ncRNA from 1 species
UUUUUUUUUUUUUUUUUUUUUGCUAAUGCAUACAAAAAUCCUAAAGUUUUCUCAGCUGAUGACAGGUGGGAGGAUUGACUGCUGCAGUUCACCUGUCACACUGUAACACAGGUGUCCUAGGGCAAGCUCAGAGAGUGCAGAAACCUUCAGUGGAACAGAAAGGCCAGAGGUCACUUGAGUGUGAUUUACACAAUAAAUAUACUCUCAGGAGCUUUCUGACAUUUUCGGUUUUAAGCAAGAGGUGUCAGGAAAAACUAACACAAGGAUUGACUGGCCUGUAACAGCCAUGUGCUGAUAUCAGCAUUGAUCCAUUUGAAGUUGUCUCCUCAUCAAUGCGAAGAACAAUUUGGGUUGUUCACACACUUACAGGAAGCUAGAGCUGGGACCGUUGUAAGAUAGGUU